CUUGAGGCUGAAUAAUACAUCUUCCCAUGGCAUUCUCCCUGGGUGCAUGUCUGUGUCCAAAUUUCCCCUUUUCAUAAGAACACCAGUCAUAUUGGAUUAAGAGCCCACCCUACUCCAAUAUGACCUCACCUUAACCAAUUACACCUGCAAUGACCCUAGUUCCAAAAAAGGUCAUCAUGUGAGGUACUGGAAGUUAGGACCUCAACAUAGGAAUUUACCAGGGGACACAUAUCAAUCCAUGACACUGCUUGUCAGUGGAUUAAAAAAAAUAAGAAGAACAUUUAACUCUCUCACCCUAUCAGUUUGUUCUCACAUUGCUAUAAAGAAAUAUCUGAAACUGGGUGAUUUAUAAAGAAAAGAAGUUUCAUUGGCUCCCAGUUCCACAGGCUGUUCAGGAAGCAUGGCUGGGGAGGCCUCAGAAAGCUUCCAGUCAUGGUGGAAGGCAAAGGGGGAGCAGGCAUUUUCAAAUAAAUGAAAGUUGAAAGAAUGUAAGGGUAGUAGAAUAGUACUGUAAGAAAUGCUAAAAUAAGUUAUUCAGGGAAA